rnacentral:rRNA from 1 species
UACGUAGGGUGCAAGCGUUGUCCGGAAUUAUUGGGCGUAAAGGGCUCGUAGGCGGUCUGUCACGUCGGGAGUGAAAACUCGGGGCUUAACCCCGAGCCUGCUUCCGAUACGGGCAGACUAGAGGUAUGCAGGGGGAGAAUGGAAUUCCUGGUGUAGCGGUGAAAUGCGCAGAUAUCAGGAGGAACACCGGUGGCGAAGGCGGUUCUCUGGGCAUUACCUGACGCUGAGGAGCGAAAGUGUGGGGAGCGAACAGG